rnacentral:tRNA from 1 species
GGGCGCUUAGCUCAGCUGGGAGAGCGUCUGCCUUACAAGCAGAAUGUCAGCGGUUCGAUUCCGUUAGCGCCCA